CCACCUCCCAUUUUGGUUUUUGAUUGAUACGGUUGUUGAAAAAGAUCAGCCCCUCUCUCUCACACACACCACUCCCACGCUGGCAUGGCAUCCGCCCGUCUCGCCGUGAUGGUAGCCUAGCCGUAGAUGGUUGUCGUCGCCUCCAUCUCCCUCGAUCCUCCACGUCUCAGCGGCGGCCGAGUCACAUCGGGAGGAGCUCGAGAACAUCAGCCUCUUCUCGCGAGAACCUUCCCGCCGAUCCCGCGCCGUGUCCAAGGCCGUCGGGGAGCUUUUUGAGGAGGAGUCCAGCGGCUCUACUCCGGCUCCGACUCCCACGGUCCCACCCCACCACAGCAGGUCGCGCCCAUGGGCGUGCAUGUGCCCAUGGAGGAUAGGGACUGGUACAUCUUCAGCCAUGGUUUCUUCUGGCGCCUCCCCGCUCAGCACCGACCUUCCGUCAACCACCCUUCAGUUGUCAUUCGUGCCGCCGUCCGAGGGAACAACACCAUCACAGUAGUUCUGGUGCAGUCUGCCACCAUCAUGGUCACUUUGGGCGGACAUCCUCUCCAUCCUUCGCUGUCUAAACCGGCGCGAUACAAAGGAAAAUUUGGCAUGCUUAGUUUCAUGGUAACUCGGUGUUCUGAAUGAACGGCCGAGCCGGGAGGCUAGAGCAAGGAAGAGGUGGGCAAAGGGUGUGGCAACACUGGCCAAGUGGACGGCAUGGUAUUGUGUUUUUUCCUCUUGAUGAAGUUGAACUUCUUUCUGGACUGUUUACACAUCAUAGACUAAAGUGCCAAGAAUCAUUGGACUUCUUUCUGGACUCACACCAUUCCUUUAUACACAAGUAUGAUAUGUCUUGUGUUUAUUCUAUACUCAAGUACAAUAGUUUCAGAUACUUCUUUAAGUGCUUCCUAUUUCUCCCCUUCCUAUCUGAAGAAAUCUUCUGUUGUGAAACUGAAGCAAGAAGAUGUCAUGCUCAGCAAUGUUGAGAUUGACUUGAAGCGUGAGAAUGAGAGUCCGCUUAAAUAGUUUUUGAUGCUUGAACAUUAAUUACAGUUAUUCAUUUAGGUCUGAAUAAUUUUACAAGUUAUAACCAGCUGCUUUUGUUCGUGCACGCAUAAUAACCAUUCCCGAGCAUCAAGUUCUUCAAGGUUAGUAAUUACUACUCCCUUCCCAUCUGGAUGCAUGGUGGUUCCUUAUUUGUUCCUGUACAGCUGAUGAAACUUUAGAAAUUCGUGAAGUUUGCACAAAUAUAGAAACUCACGGUCGAAAUCUGCCAGUAUAAGGAAAAUGACAUAUUUGUUUAUUUUUGGUUAAUCAUUCUUUGCUGAGAUAUCUGUAGCUGAUAAUGGUGAAAAAUCUUGUAUUAAAAUAAAGAGAGGAGCCUACAGAAAGCAACUCCUCCAAUCACACUGUAUUGGUGAAAUAUUUAUGCCUCGUACAACAUGCAAAUUGACGGAGGCAGGUUAUCGUUUUCCCCUUACAUGACUAAGGACUCGAUGGAGAUGUGCCUCAACACCUAAGGAGGACAAGAAGAUAAUUGACGAGGGUGGCGGGCUCACAUCACACAAGUAACACCUCUAUCAUGGUUGAUGGGGAUUUUGGUUCUCGUACUGGAAUUUACUUGGGCAAAACUCGGUAAUAUGAUAGCCUGAAUUUGGCCACCGUAAAUGCUGCUGUUCUACGAGGAUCUCCUUGCUUGAAUAUUUUGCCUUCUCUGGAUCUUGGAUUCUUUAAAUUGAUGUGUCGAAUUCACAUUUAGCCGAAAAGUUUACUGUGUGCACAAACUGUUCGGUUGUCCAUAUGUACAAACGUAUAUUUUGUUUUUUGUUAUUUAUCUCUAUAACUCAGUUUCAGUACUCAACUUGACAAUAGGUUUUUUGGAGAUAGUACUUGGGAAUUAUUUUAGUACAGUGGACUGUGGAGUUGGCACUUGAUCUCCAAUGACUCUUCGUCAUAGAAGGGUGCUAAGUACGUAUUUUCUGAGCUAGAAUAAUUAACUGCAUGGUGCGUUGUUACCACUCUUACAUUUUUGAAAAUUUUAGUGUGCUUUACAAGCUUCAUAAUCCACCAAUAUACAUGUAGCUUAUCUGCAGGAUAGAUAUUCAUUGGGAAUUCAAUAUUCCUCUAGAGAAAACAAUUGCUUUGUUCUGGCAGAUCGGUACAUAUUUAGUAGUGGAGGUUCAGCUAGCACACAUAUGCAUUUCCCGUGCACUUUAGAGAUUUUUUUUAUCACUUGAGAAAGGGGAUAACACAAAAUGGUUGUUGUCACAGUACGAGCGGACUCCAUUGUGCAUUUGUAUCUUUAAAUUUUGCACAACUGCUAUCAUGCAUGAGUUUUUGUCAAUAUAUCUGCAGAAGUUUUUGCCCUGGAUAUUUUUUUUUGUUUCAGCUGCUGCUGCAAAGAAUAUGCCUCUAUUUAUCCUUGGCAUCUUCUUUAUAUUCACCACUUGGUAUGCAAUAUAUAACAUAAUGAGAAAUAUAUGUUGCAAUUAGCUUUUGUUUGAGCAUGUCUAUUAACAUUUGCCUCUUCUCCUAUAUAUUAGGUUAUGGUCUACACCAGAGCAACCAGGCAUGGAUAUAGAUACUAUGCUAGAAGGUCACCGAAUAAUUUUGCAGGACAUAGGAUAUGUUGUGCACCAUAUCUUCCGUGUGACUUCCCUCACCAAUCGUCAGCGACUUUUCUGUUUUUAUGUUAUAAUACUUUAAGCUCAACUGUCAUGUAUGCAAUUAGGAGAAUAGUGCAAUUAUAGUUUACAUGAACUUGUUGAAUAUCCUAUUAUUAGUUAAAAAGGGAUGUACAUUUUUGCCGACAAUCAAGCAUUUGCUCUCCUUUUUCUUUA